UACGUAGGGGGCAAGCGUUAUCCGGAUUUACUGGGUGUAAAGGGAGCGUAGACGGUGAUGCAAGUCAGAAGUGAAAGCCCGGGGCUCAACCCCGGCGAGCCGUUGAAACUGGCUGUCUUGAGAUGUCGAGAGGUAUGCGGAAUGCGCAGUGUAGCGGUGAAAUGCUUAGAUAUUGCGCAGAACUCCGAUUGCGAAGGCAGCAUACCGGCGGCGAUCUGACGCUGAGGCACGAAAGCGUGGGUAUCGAACAGG
rnacentral:rRNA from 1 species